UACAUUUCCAAAAAAUAAGGUGCAUGAGGUCUCAGCUGGAGAGGAGGUCCAAUAAUAUUAUGUAUCGCUGGAGCAGGAUAGUGCAUCAUUCAGUGUUUAAUUGCCUCUAAACUGUCUAUUUGCAAGAGGAAAUGAACAUAUUUGAUUUGUCAGAUUCUUGACUAAAGUCAUUAAGAACAGGGUGAUGCGCGCACAAAAAGCACACCCAUCUGCGGCCAGAACCCUAAUGUCCUCUGUCAGCCGGCUGUCCCCACGGUGGCCGCGGCGACUCAUCUUUCUGCUGACGUCCCGGUGUGGAGGAGUUGCCAGCCCCAGCAUUCUAAAAGGCCUGCCGUGGCACGGAGGAACGCUAACGCUGUGGUACCAUGCACAGCGCAGAGCCCUUGAAGACAGUGCCAACCCUGAUACCAGUGCUACGCAAUGAAGUACAGGAAGGACGAUGGCUGCCCUGCAACUCUAAAUAACAUCACCUGUUUGUCAUGGAGGGAACCAAAGCUGAUCAAACCCCAUUAUCUGCAAGACUUCCACUUACCUUCAACCACAGUCCAGAUAUGUGUUUUUUUUUUAUUAUUAACCAGUAAGAUAAGCACCUAACAGAUAAAGUCGGCCAUCCUAUCAUGACGGGAAGGGGAGGAGGGACAGGGAAAAAGCAAGGGAAUUGAGAUUUUCUGGGAUAGUUUCAUUCUGUGGAAAGGGCAAGCAGAGAGAGACCUCCUGCUGGAAUGCUGAGCCGAAAUGAAGCCGGCCGCCUCUCUUUUUCUC